rnacentral:rRNA from 1 species
GACGAACGCUGGCGGCGUGCUUAACACAUGCAAGUCGAACGAAGUGGCGAACGGGUGAGUAAUACGUGGGUAACCUGCCCUCCUUUUUGGGCUAAGCCUUUGAAACGGGGUCUAAUACCGAAUAAAGGGGGAUGGGCUCGCGGCCUAUCAGCUUGUUGGUGGGGUGAUGGCCUACGAAGGCGGUGACGGGUAGCCGGCCCGAGAGGGGGACCGCCCAAAUUGGGACUGAGAUACGGCCGAGCAUCCGACCGGAGGAAGCAGUGGGGGGUAGUGCAAAAGGGACGAAAGCCAGAAGCAGCGAAGCCGCGUGGGGGGUGAAGGCUUUGGGGUUGUAAACCUCUUUCGCUAUCGAACCGGUAGGUGGAGAAGAAGCGCCGGCUAACUACGUGCCAGCAGCCGCGGUAAUAC